UACGUAGGGUGCGAGCGUUAAUCGGAAUUACUGGGCGUAAAGCGUGCGCAGGCGGUCUGUUAAGACCGAUGUGAAAUCCCCGGGCUUAACCUGGGAACUGCAUUGGUGACUGCAUCGCUGGAGUGCGGCAGAGGGGGAUGGAAUUCCGCGUGUAGCAGUGAAAUGCGUAGAUAUGCGGAGGAACACCGAUGGCGAAGGCAAUCCCCUGGGCCUGCACUGACGCUCAUGCACGAAAGCGUGGGGAGCAAACAGG
rnacentral:rRNA from 1 species